rnacentral:snRNA from 1 species
GUACUCAUUUGGCUACAUAUAUACUCAGGGGAAGCUGUACAGAGGUUAGCACGGUCCCUGCAGGAGGAUGACACAAACUUCUUGAAGUAUUCCAAAUGUUU